GUUGGUAUAGUUUUAACAAAAAUAUCGGAUUGUGAUUCCGAAGACAGGGGUUAAAACCCCCCUACCAACC
rnacentral:tRNA from 1 species